CCUACGGGUGGCAGCAGUAGGGAAUCUUCCACAAUGGGCGCAAGUCUGAUGGAGCAACACCGCGUGAGUGAAGAAGGGUUUCGGCUCGUAAAGCUCUGUUGUUGGUGAAGAAAGUGCGAGGUAGUAACUGUCCAUGCUUUGACGGUAAUUACUUAGAAAGUCACGGCUAACUACGUGCCAGCAGCCGCGGUAAUACGUAGGUGGCAAGCGUUGUCCGGAUUUAUUGGGCGUAAAGCGAGUGCAGGCGGUUCCAUAGGUCUGAUGUGAAAGCCUUCGGCUUAACCGGAGAAUUGCAUCAGAAACUGGUGAACUUGAGUGCAGAAGAGGAGAGUGGAACUCCAUGUGUAGCGGUGGAAUGCGUAGAUAUAUGGAAGAACACCAGUGGCGAAGGCGGCUGUCUGGUCUGCAACUGACGCUGAGGCUCGAAAGCAUGGGUAGCGAACAGGAUUAGAUACCCGGGUAGUC
rnacentral:rRNA from 1 species